rnacentral:lncRNA from 1 species
GUAGGGGUGGCAAUUUCUCAACUUGGACCGGAUCCGAUCCGGAUCCAUGUGGAUCGGAUUCAAAAGGAUCCGGAUCCAAUAUCAAUCUAUAUGAAUAGAUUUAAUGUGGAUCGAAUUUAGACCGAUCCGGAUUGGAUCCAAAUGGAUCCAUUUCAUUUUUAAUUCAAUUUAUGAGGUUGAAUAUCUCAACUUUUAGGAUUUAAUAUCUCAAUUUAUGUAGUUUAAUAUCUCAACUUUUAGGAUUUAAUAUCUCAACUUUUAGGAUUUAAUAUCUCAAUUUAUGUGGUUUAAUAAUUAAUAUCUAAACUUUCAAACUCACACAUAUUCACACACACUUUUCAUACACAGUUACACACUAUCACACACACGCACACACUCAUAUACACACACUGUUUAACACACACACCCCAUUUUACACACACACACACACUCUGUUUUACACACACACACACACUGUUUUACACACACACACACACACACUGUUUUACACACACACACACACAUUGUUUAACACACACACACACACUCACAUACACACACUGUUUUACACACACACACACACACACUCACAUGCACACACAGCUUCUACACACACUCACAUACACACACUGUUUACACACACACACACACACACUCUGUUUUACAGACACACACACACACACACUGUUUUACACACACACACACUCGCAUACACACACAAUUUCUACACACACACACACACUAUUUUACGCGCACACACACACACACACUGUUUUACACACACACACACACACACUGUUUUACA